rnacentral:misc_RNA from 1 species
GAAAUGCGAUAAGUAAUGUGAAUUGCAGAAUUCAGUGAAUCAUCGAAUCUUUGAACGCACAUUGCGCCCGCCAGUAUUCUGGCGGGCAUGCCUGUUCGAGCGUCAUUUCAACCAUCAAGCCCCCGGCUUGUGUUGGGGACCUGCGGCUGCCCGCAGGCCCUGAAAAACAGUGGCGGGCUCGCUGUCACACCGAGCGUAGUAGCAUACAUUCUCGCUCAGGGCGUGCUGCGGGUUCCGGGCGUUAAACGACCUUCAUAACCCAAGGUUGACCUCGGAUCAGGUAGGAAGACCCGCUGAACUUAAGC